ACAUAACUAGGAUUCCCUUAGUAACGGCGAGUGAACCGGGAUGAGCUCAAAUUUAAAAUCUGGCGUCUUUCAGGCGUCCGAGUUGUAAUCUAUAGAGGCGUUUUCCGCGCCGGACCGCGUCCAAGUCUCUUGGAAUAGAGUAUCAAAGAGGGUGACAAUCCCGUACUUGACGCGACAACCGGUGCUCUGUGAUACGUUCUCAAUGAGUCGAGUUGUUUGGGAAUGCAGCUCUAAAUGGGUGGUAAAUUCCAUCUAAGGCUAAAUAUUGGCGAGAGACCGAUAGCGAACAAGUACCGUGAGGGAAAGAUGAAAAGCACUUUGGAAAGAGAGUUAAACAGCACGUGAAAUUGUUAAAAGGGAAACGAUUGAAGUCAGUCGUGUGAAAGGUAUUCAGCCGUCUCUGGCGGUGUAUUUGCCUUUCACGGGUCAACAUCAGUUUGAUCCGGUAGAAAAAGGCGGGAGGAAGGUGGCACCCUCGGGUGUGUUAUAGCCUCCUGUCAUAUGUGCCGGACCAGACUGAGGAACGCAGCUUGCCGCAAGGCCGGGGUUCGCCCACGUACAAGCUUAGGAUGUUGACAUAAUG
rnacentral:rRNA from 1 species